UGUCAAGGGAUGGGAAUCGAACCCACAAUGUUCCGCUUACCGGGCAGAUGCCAUGUCCACUAGGCUACCCUGGAC